rnacentral:rRNA from 1 species
AGAGUUUGAUCCUGGCUCAGAUUGAACGCUGGCGGCAUGCCUUACACAUGUAAGUCGAACGGCAGCACGGACUUCGGUCUGGUGGCGAGUGGCGAACGGGUGAGUAAUAUAUCGGAACGUACCCUGGAGUGGGGGAUAACGCAGCGAAAGUUGCGCUAAUACCGCAUACGAUCUACGGAUGAAAGUGGGGGCUCGCAAGACCUCAUGCUCGUGGAGCGGCCGAUAUCUGAUUAGCUAGUUGGUAGGGUAAAAGCCUACCAAGGCUUCGAUCAGUAGCUGGUCUGAGAGGACGACCAGCCACACUGGGACUGAGACACGGCCCAGACUCCUACGGGAGGCAGCAGUGGGGAAUUUUGGACAAUGGGGGCAACCCUGAUCCAGCAAUGCCGCGUGAGUGAAGAAGGCCUUCGGGUUGUAAAGCUCUUUUGUCAGGGAGAAACGGUGAAAGGCUAAUAACUCUUUGCUAAUGACGGUACCUGAA